AGAAUGUAUUGUGACCACCGCUAUAUCUUAAAAUGAAAAUCACGAUAGCAUUGUGGAUAGUGGGUGUCAUGCAUGAUAGACACUCAUAAUGUUAAGUGUUGUAUUCAUAAAACAAAAGCAAAAAAAUACUUUAUUUGAUUGACCUGUAAACUUUCCUCUGAGAUCGAAAAGGGUACAGACAGCACAAACAAUAUGCAGACUAUCCAAAUAUUUUAUAAUGUUGUGAAAUAUAAAGAAAUCUUUGGCAUUUGGAGGGCCAAAAAUAAAAAUUUAAUGGAAAAAUUCAUGCAAUUAGGUUUUUUAUGCAAAUUGAAGAACCCUCAUUGCUCUAAUUAAUAAGAACAUGUGGAUUGUGGAUUAAUGAUUGGGAUUGGAACGUUUUUUUAUAAUAAAUAAGCAUUUUAGUUCAUUGAUGAGUAUGUCCUUAGAAAGCGACAGCAAGAAAAAUUUUUCUUGCAAUACAUUUAAUGAUCAUCAUCUCAGUCUUGAAAAUAUUCAAAUGUGUGAUUUAAGUAGUUUUCAUUUUUAUAAUUAAUCAAGUUUUGCCUAAUUUGCAGAAAGAUCCUCAUGUCGGCAUCUAAUUUUCCAUUUAAAAAAUUGCGAAAACAUAGGAUCUACUGUGUUAUGUGUAUACUACAUGUAACAAAGUGUUUCCUUAAGAUGUUUUUUUUGUGCAGGGAACAAGAAUAUUUCCAUACUGGAUUAAUAUAAAGUAGAAAGUCAGAAUGUGUUCUGAAGACAAUGGUUAACUGCUUGAACAAAUAUAUAAAUAAAAAAGUGAUUAUGUAUGCUACAAGUUGUUUGAUGGUCAUCCUACUCUUCUGGUGUUUUAUGUAUAGCACAAGUUGCGAACCAGUAUUUGCCAAGAAUGAUUACAAUGCUUUGUUUCCAAAAAAUACUGUUAUUGACAUUAGCAAUGGAUCCACUGAUGAUUUAUUCAAUCACAUAAAUCGACAUGAAAUAACUUUUGUUAUUUUUUAUGCUCCUUGGUCUGGUCAAUGUAUAAAAUUUGUGCCAGAAUUUUUAAAAUUGUUAAAGUUGUUAAAUCAUUCUGUGAUUUCUAUUAUUGCUAUAAACUGCUGGGUUGGGCAAUGUAGAAGUCUGUUUCAAACUUUUUAUUUUCCAAGAAUGUUUUUGUAUCAUACAAAACAUAACCCUAUUGAAUAUUUUGGUGCUGUAAAUGCAAAAAAGAUUUUAAAAUUUAUGGAGAUGUCAAUUCGUCCUUGGGUAUAUAUUGGAAAUCAGCAUGACUUGACAGAGUUUUCUAAAAAAUAUGAUAGUAACGUUAUUUGUUACAUAAAUCCAUUCAGUCUCCAUAGCGAUAAAAGAUAUGAUAUAUUCUUCCUUGCUGCAUUGUCUCUAAUAAAUCGUGUUGAUCCACCAAAAGUAGGUGUUAUCGUAAACAAAAAUACAGCAAUGCUCAUAAAGCUGUCGGUGCACGGUGAACUUUGUUCAAGAAAUUCUUUUCGUGAUGACUUGUAUUACCUGCAAUCUGCAAAUUAUACAUCUCAUGACAUAUUACAUUGGAUGAUCAUACACAACAGACAGAUAAUCAACACACUAUCACCUAACGCAACAUACACUAAUUUUUAUAUUGAGCAAUUAAGACAGGGUCCAGUUGUAAUAUUACCUUUCAACUCACACUGGCGGUCAUCAUACAAAAAUCUGAAUAUGUAUCGGCAUGUUGCUACAAGUUAUUAUCAUUGUAGUUGUUACACAAAUCAAUAUAUUCACAAUUAUAAGACUACUAGACAAACAUGUUUAUCCUUCAAAUCGAAGCGCAAAAUGUUAUGCUCGCUUUGUUGUUAUUGUCUUCACUAUUGUUAUUGUCCACCAAUAAUCUCCGCGAAGCAGCAGUUGUCAGUCAACAUGGGGUAUUGUGUAUCGUGGAAUGGAUUUAUUAGUGAAAAUUUCAGUAAAUGCUGUGUCAGCACCUCUUUAGUCCAUUUAAGAAGCGAUUUUAUUUCACGAGAGUUGAACUACACAAAAAAUGAAAACGAAACUGUGAGUACGCUAAAUUUAGCAAGUGUCAUGUUGAAUCAAAUACAAAUGAAUAAUUUAAAGUCGCAUCAGUCAGAAAGUGAUGAUAUGCAAAGCAAAAAUUCUCGUCUGUUGAGAAAUGACAUUAAAAAAUGCGGACCAGCAGCCCCUUGCUGUUUUCCGCAGGAAGUUAGCCGAAAAAAACACACAUUCAGUUUCAAAGGUUUAGCAUGUCGCACCAACAAAACUCUUAGUUUUUACGUCAUGGAUGUAGACCAACAUAGUUAUAUCUUAAAUAAUCUUGGCUAUACAAACACAUCAUCCAUGAUGAUCGUGGAUGUAAAGAGAGAAGAAAAAUUUCACCUUGAUGCUGCUGUUACUGCUACUUCUAUAGUUUACAAUGGGCGAGCUGCAGCAGAGGUACAAUUCGACCCGACCACAGGGUCCUUCAACCUUAAAGUUACGUAAAUACGAUCUAGAAAUUUUGGAGUUGACAUCUUCGUCUUUUCGGUCGGCGGUUUUUAAUAACACAAAGAAUGUUUUUGUUAUGUUUUACGCUGUAUGGUGCGGAGUGUGUAAAGCUGUUAGCUUGAUAUUUCUUAACUUGGCGAAAUUUUAUGUCACUCACGACGUUGCCUUUCAAAG